GGGAGGUCAGGAUAGAUGCCUGUGACCAGGGAGUCCAGGAGCUAGGAUUUUGGAGGGAGCUACCCCGUGUAUAUAGUGUGCUGCUCCUGGAGAGACACAAGAGGGAUCAGUUGAUGGGGAACGUGGGGAAAACAAAAGUUCGAAGGUCCAGAGGAAAGAUAAGUCAGAGGGCAGUAUAGAGAAGGCUCUGGAGACCCUGAGAGGGAGAGAGCAGACAUGUCCAUGAGCGGGAAUGAUAGGAGCAACUCAGAAGGAAGACAGCCAACAGAUUCACUGCCAGGAUUGGCUCCCUGGUCCCUCGAUUUCAAAGCUCCUCGUGGCCCAUGGACAGCAUUUGAUUUGAACCCAGCGUGGAUAAAUUGGAAGCAGUUGUGGAGGGCACACAACACACCCAGACUAUCUACCAGAAUCAGAGAGAGUCUCAGAUUCCAAAGAUGUUUCUUCAGCAAAUACCGAAAGUCUUCUUCAAGAAAUUCUUGUAUCCAAGAUCUUGGUAUAAACAACUCCAUCAUUGGCUUAUGCUGCUGGAAUUCUAGAAACACAAAGAGCACUGGGCCUUGUCUUGUCUUUGGCAGCAGCAACCGCUGCCCGAAGCUCAUCUGUUUGGUUCCAGACAACCUAACAACAGGACCACCAUGGAAAGAUGCUGAGAGCCAAACCUCUAGGCUUCAAGGGGAUGAUUCCGACCUGCCUCCAGCUAAUUACAAAGCCAUCCCCAUACCAACCAAUAUGUUUUCUGCAAUCCCUCAUUGGAUUGGCUCAUGUCUCCUGAGAUGCAUGGUUUACCUAUCAAUUCUUGAUGUCUCCAAGGAGUCUUAACAACUGUGAUUGAUGGCAGAGAGAUCACAGGUUCAGGUGAGUGUCAGGUCAUGAGUGUAUAUCUAGAUCAAUGAACCCCCUAGCAAACAUGGCUGUGGAGUCACAUGGUAGGUACAGUACCAGAAGGUUCCUAGAGUUUUUAGAUGAUAGUGAUAGAGGAUUUGGGAAGGCAGAUAGUCCAUCCUUUGACUUUAGAUUCUUCUAGAUCAUAACUGAGUGGAGGUUGGAAAACCAACCCAUGUCUAUUGACUGAGUAAAAUGUCAGUAGCACAAGCAACUUCAGCUCUGAUGCCCUGGGGAUGCACAGUAGAACACAGACCAGGAUGCAGCCUCCAAAGUCUCUAUCUGGUG
rnacentral:lncRNA from 1 species